rnacentral:lncRNA from 1 species
GUUGCGCGCAAUCUUGAACCACUCGGUGUGGAAAGAACCAGGCAUGUCGACCCUCUCGUAGGUGUGAGCCCCGAAGUAGUCCCUCUGUGCCUGGACCAGGUUGGCGGGCAGCCUGUCCCUGCGGUAGGAGUCGAAGUAGGCCAGACUCGCAGACAUGCCUGGGGUGCUAACGCCAUUGUUGAUGGCUAGGCAGACUACCCUGCGCCAAGCAGCUUGCCUGUCCAUGAUCUCCUGGGCGAACUCAGGGUCCACAAGGAGGUUGGCAAGGUUGGGGUUCCUAUCAUAGGCCUUCUUGAUGCGGUCGAGGAAGAUGGCACGGAUGAUGCACCCUCCCUUCCAGAUCCUCGCUAGCUCACCAAGGUUGAGUCCCCAUCCUUUCUCUGAGCUCUUGGCCUUGAUGAUGUUCAUGCCCUGUGCGUAACUGCAGAUCUUGGAGGCGUAGAGAGCUUGCCUCACAUCCUCGAUCAGCUG